rnacentral:rRNA from 1 species
UACGGGGGGGGCAAGCGUUGUUCGGAAUUACUGGGCGUAAAGGGCUCGUAGGUGGCCAACUAAGUCGGACGUGAAAUCCCUCAGCUUAACUGGGGAACUGCGUCCGAUACUGGAUGGCUUGAGUUUGGGAGAGGGAUGCGGAAUUCCAGGUGUAGCGGUGAAAUGCGUAGAUAUCAGGAGGAACACCGGUGGCGAAGGCGGGUCUCUGGGCCGAUACUGACGCUGAGGAGCGAAAGCGUGGGGAGCAAACAGG